rnacentral:rRNA from 1 species
AUUGAACGCUGGCGGCAGGCCUAACACAUGCAAGUCGAGCGGAUGAAGGGAGCUUGCUCCUGGAUUCAGCGGCGGACGGGUGAGUAAUGCCUAGGAAUCUGCCUGGUAGUGGGGGAUAACGUCCGGAAACGGGCGCUAAUACCGCAUACGUCCUGAGGAAGAAAGUGGGGGAUCUUCGGACCUCACGCUAUCAGAUGAGCCUAGGUCGGAUUAGCUAGUUGGUGGGGUAAAGGCCUACCAAGGCGACGAUCCGUAACUGGUCUGAGAGGAUGAUUAGUCACACUGGAACUGAGACACGGUCCAGACUCCUACGGGAGGCAGCAGUGGGGAAUAUUGGACAAUGGGCGAAAGCCUGAUCCAGCCAUGCCGCGUGUGUGAAGAAGGUCUUCGGAUUGUAAAGCACUUUAAGUUGGGAGGAAGGGCAGUAAGUUAAUACCUUGCUGUUUUGACGUUACCAACAGAAUAAGCACCGGCUAACUUCGUG